UUGCUGAGGCUGGCUUUGAACUUGCAAUUCUCCUGCCUCAGCCUCCCAAGCCACUGGGAUUACAAGUGUGUGCCACGGUGUCCGGCUGCUUCAGGUAUUUUAUUAUAGUCAUGGAAAGAUGAUUAGCACAUGUGAAUCAACUAUAUUUUGUUUAUUCAUUUAUUAGUUGAUGGGAUUUUAAGUUGUUUCCAGUUAUUCAUUUAUUAGUUGAUGGGAAUUUGAGUUGUUUCCAGAUCAUGUUGGGAACAUUCAUGUUCUUAUACAGACUUUAUGUUUUCCCUUCUGUUGGGUAUAUGGCUCAGAGUGGAAUUGGUGGGUCAUAUGAUAAUUCUGUGUUUAACCUUUUGAGUAACUACUCAAAUGUUUUCCAAAGUGACUUGUAUUUUCUUUUUUAUUGCAUAAAAUAUACAUAAAAUCUCUAUUUUUAACAAAUUUUUUAAUAGUCAGAAGCUUGCUUGGGCCAUCCCAGCCUUUUUUCUGCUCUGGGUCUUAAAUAUGAGGAUGGGGCUUCUAGAGACCUAUUUUUCUGUCAAGCUCUAGGGCAAAAUCCCCCUAAGCUCAUGUCUCUCCCUUCCUUCUUCCUCUUCCCCAUUCCUCUGCUAUUUCCCUCCAAGGUCCUAGAGUUAUGUCCCUGCUGCCUCAGUUCUUAUAUCCCCCCAAUUUGGGUGUCCUCCUCUGUCCCUGUGCUGGAGAAACCUUGGCUGGCAGAGGCUAUCUUGUUUAAGAGAACAAUCCCUAGUUAUCUCUUAUGAGAGACAUAUGUCUCUGUACAGCUCUCUUCUUGUCUCUUUGAUGCUCUGUCUGAAUAAAAAUCUUCCUCCUAUUAUCCUGUCAUCUG
rnacentral:lncRNA from 1 species